AUUUAUAUAGUUUAAAAUUAAAACCUUUUAUUUUCAAUAAAAAAAUAAUAGCAUUAUUAAAUUUAUUUAUAAAUU
rnacentral:tRNA from 1 species